AAUCAACGCUGGCGGCAUGCCUUAUACAUGCAAGUCGAACGCGAAAGGGGACUUCGGUUCCCGAGUAGAGUGGCGAACGGGUGAGUAACGCGUGGGUGAUCUACCCUUUUGUGGGGAAUAACCCGCCGAAAGGCGGGCUAAUACCGCAUAAUCCUGGAUAUUCGGUUAUUCAGGGAAAGGUUUUAAUCGCAGAAGGAGGAGCCCGCGUUCGACUAGCUAGUUGGUGAGGUAACGGCUCACCAAGGCGACGAUCGAUAGCCGGUCUGAGAGGACGGACGGCCACACUGGGACUGAGACACGGCCCAGACUCCUACGGGAGGCAGCAGUAGGGAAUUUUGGGCAAUGGGGGAAACCCUGACCCAGCAAUGCCGCGUGGAGGAUGAAGGUUUUCGGAUCGUAAACUCCUGUCCUGAGGGAAGAAGACAGUGACGGUACCUCAGGAGGAAGCCCCGGCUAACUCCGUG
rnacentral:rRNA from 1 species